rnacentral:siRNA from 1 species
GCGCUGAUGCGACGGUCGUUUAU